rnacentral:rRNA from 1 species
UAACACGUGGGGAACCUGCCCCAUAGCUGGGAUACCACUUGGAAACAGGUGCUAAUACCGGAUAAGAAAGCGGAUCGCAUGAUCAGCUUUUAAAAGGCGGCGUAAGCUGUCGCUAUGGGAUGGCCCCGCGGUGCAUUAGCUAGUUGGUAAGGUAAAGGCUUACCAAGGCGAUGAUGCAUAGCCGAGUUGAGAGACUGAUCGGCCACAUUGGGACUGAGACACGGCCCAAACUCCUACGGGAGGCAGCAGA